CAUCUUUGCUAGGCUGUUUUUCGGUUGUCUAGCCAUGCGUGGGAGCGAAGAUAACUCCAAACACGUUUUGGUAGAUGAGGGGAGACUUGCUGUAUCCAUUUCCCUCUCUGGCCAAUGAUUUGAGGAGCUAGCAUCAGAUGGUCUAUCGUGGCCUUUUUCUUGAUAAAAACGUAUAAAAUGAAGCGUAGAUGAGACACUGUUUAGCGAGGAACUUGUGGAAGGCUUGGGCUAUCCUCGUACUCUUUGGUACUGACUCAUUAUUAUUAUGCGGCAAUCAUAUCACUGUCUUUAUCGACUCCAUGCAAAACAUGUUCAUUGAAUUUGAUAGGCCUAAAAUGGCUUUCAUUAUGACCAAAACUACUAACAUGCAAAAACUGGUAAUAGGCCCGCGGAUCUCUCUGGUUAUCAAUGCUAUUUUAUUGUGUUCUGUAGCCUCGCUAACCACAGGCGUGGAUCCACAAGAACAGAAGAAGCAACAAGAUCGUGCUUCCCUGCUUUAGGAGUUUCUUCCACCGGUGUGCCUAUAGGGAGAUAAUGACUCUCCUAAAACCCUUAUUUGCGGUUAAUUGUUAAUUGGAUCUACACUUUUGUUGGAUCCACAUCUUUGAAAGAAGACUAGUUUGGCACGGGCGGGCUAGAAAGACUUCGAGGAUAAAACCGAUCAUUCAACAGAUAAGGUCCUUUUGGGUGACUCUGGAGCAAAUCUAUAGCAUCAGCCAGUCUAGCGCGUUCUAACCACUAUCGCUUUCGUCUUGUAAAAGUUUAAUAAAUGCGACUAUGAAUUAGGGCCAGUAGACUAGAACUAUAAAUUGACCCGGCGUCGACGCGUAGCCGCUCACCAUUAUGGUUCUAUUGGUUCUCAUCGAAGUAUCUAAAUGGUUCUAUUGGGGUUCUCUUCGAGAUAUCAAAAUAUUAUUUGGAAUUUACCACCCGUGUGGAGCCUUGAAUGCGACUCUAAAUUGGAUCAGUCACACCGGGCGAUCACUCUCAUGGAGAGCUCUUAUGGCUCUCAUGUGAUAACUAACUCGCCUUCCCUAAGUCUUCGCCUAACUCGCCUUUCUCAGAAUCUUCUGAAUCGGGAUCCGUGGUUGCGUCUGUUGGCAGUAGCACUUCUUCAUUGUAUUUGUGACUUGGCUUUGUCCGUUGACAUUCUAACACAUUGGCAUUCUAAUCUUGGAUUAUUUCUUAAUAAAUUCGACCCGGAAGGCUUUUUAGCUGAACAUAAGGAGUGGUGUGCGGACCCAAAGGCAGUUACCAAUAUAUCAUUAGAUUAGUGAAUUCCCACGCGCCAAAUAGGCGUCACCACACUGCCUCCCAAAGGCUUCUUUUAGGCUUCCCCGCCACAUCACACGCUUGCUUGCUUUUGCUAAUCCGAUCCAGAAAAAACGAACAUUCUCCCACGUGCUUCGGGCCUUGCAAUAGCAGUAGAUGCUACAGACGUGGUGUCAUUAUCAGUGAUUCCUCAAUCGAUCAGAAGAAAGGGAAUAUAACCUGCCCCUCAUUGUCCAGGUUUUCUUUGAACAACAUCGGCCGGACAAGAACAAAGGUUUUCACCUCCUUCGUCCUCGGAAUUGUUCGAGCUACAUUCCGUUCAGACUAGAUAUCCGGAAUCUAGUCCUCUCUGUCCUAGCUUAACAACCGUUUUUUUUUUGUCUUAAGACAAUAAACCACUUCGUUUAGCCUGCCAAGAGUCGCAUUCCUAACAACAGGAACAUCUGAGUUUAUCUCACUAUUUGCAUUCUUAGGUCCGGACAAGAACAAGAGGUUUUCACCAUCGUCUUUGCGCUUUGCUGGAACUAUGUAAGGUUUACGCUCGUGACUUCACGAGAUAGUGAUUCUCCUCACGACCACCAUUUCAUUUACCUUCACCCCGGGACUCAGGAACAACAUCUUAGAACCUGUUUUAUCCUCUGAACAACCAACAACAAACACUAGAAUUAGAGUUAUAAACCUUCCGAGAUGGCUUCAUCUAUUGCUUCUUUGUUGUCUUUCUUAUCUGGCAGAUGAAAACGGGAAUCUUUUUCUAGAUUGUGUGAGUGGUCAGUUGUGAUGGAGAACAGGGGAUUCCCAAUCCAAAAAAGACUGGCUUCUUUUCGAAAACUUCCAUGCCAGCUAUGUACCCAAACCUAGCAAUUCUAGAUUCUCCUAGUAAACUGCAGGUUUUUGGGUGCUAAAAAAGGAAACUUCCACGCCGGCUAUGCACGGGAACCAUCCGUUAAUCCGUGUGAACCAAGAAGAGAAAAUCGAAGCUUUUGACACGCCUGUCUAGCCAAUCCAAUAUAUAUCUUUCGUAUCCCUGCUAGCGUAAAUGACACACUAUUUUUGCGAGGAAAGUCACCUUGCAAACAAGCACGAUUCCCUAUGAAAGUGAAAGGCAAUUUUUCCCCGGGACACAAGAAGAGUGCAGGAUAUAUAAAAGAGAACUUGCGGAGGGCGAGACAACUUCAGUCAUGAUUGCAGAAUGUGAGGACUAUUUAGUCAUUGAAGAUGAAGAGUGUUAUAGUGCGUGAUGAUGCUUUGACUUGGGUUGUGGACUCAGGUGCGUCCUUCCACAUCACACAAGGAGUUUUUCGAAUCCUAGACCUGUGGCAUCAAUGGCUCUGUGAGGAUGGGAAAGAGUAGAACAUCAACAAUUGUGGGCAAGCCACCUUCACAAAUGGUGCGAAACAAACACAAAAAAAAGGUUGGUGCUCGAUGAUGUGAGACAUUCAAUUCAAAAAAUCUCUUGUCAGUAGUGGGCAAGCUUUAUGAUAUUGGCCAUGGCAGUUAUUUUGGUGAAGGAAAAUGGAAGCGAAGCGCUUCUUUGAUUGUGGCUCGAGGAAUAAUUGCUUAUAGAAAGAUGUAAUAGAAAUACGAAUACGAAUAUAAUCAAAUUAUCGACUCCGGGUCCGCCAUUCCUUAAUCAUUCCUUAAGCUUAAAUAGCCGACAUUCCUUCCGCAGCUGACUCGUUCAUCCCCUUCCAUUCCUGCUCUAUAGUAGGGGUUAUGUCCCCCUUUCCUAGUGAGAGCAAUACGCAAUGCUGCUACGAAUAGAGAUAGUGCCCUAUCCACUGCAAAACGGUACUCUGCUUCAACCACACGGUAUGGCUCCCUCAUUUCAAACCAAGCUGUAGACCGAGUAGGAAACAGCUAAAGGUUCCGGUCCAAAGGUAAGAAGAUCCGUUGGUUGGAAAUCCGUAUCAAUUGUUACUGGUUCUCCCGUUCUUGGUACUGUGUCAUGUGACUCUAAAGCCCCAACUAGGCUAGAUCGAGAUCUUGGUCCUUGCUAGGCUUACUCGCGUAAAUAACCCCCAUGUCUUAGGUGUUCUCUCGGGGGUAAGCGAGUCAGUACAAUCGGUUGCACAACCGUCCAGUCCAUAUCAUAAUUGUCAUAAUCAAUCAUAUCAGUAGGUGGCAUACUUGCCUGCUCAAGUCCAUCUACUAUGGAUGUGGGCUUGGACCAAGCCAUCCCCAAACACUGAACCGGAUCUUGAAAACGGGACUGAACUGAAUCCGACUUCUUGGUAGCCCAGUGGCUUUUGGUCCCCAUCGGAAAGUGCUGAAUGGAUUGCUCCUUGCCCAACGACAAAAAGAAAGAAAUUUAGGAGAGGAUUGAUAGGUUUAAGCAUUCAGGGCUGGUCGCUCUUAUGGAUACCUGUGAGCUAGAGUCGGGAAUCGAAAAGGAGACAACGGAAGCCGUACAGAUCUAGUUGGGAAUGCUGUUCAUGCAGUGGAGAGCGUAAAUGACCGGCCCUUGAGGCGCGAGUAGACUUAUCAUAUAGAAAGGAAAGAGAUAAGCGGAGGGAGGAUGGUUUGAUGAUAGCCAAGAUCUCCAUCUCAUUUGUCACUCUCGUAUUCUUAAUAGGAAUCGGCAAGCAGAUACAACCACUAGGCCAUUGCCAUUCGACUAGUCUAUCAGAGUAUCCUACGAAGUCAGGUCCAGUAGGCGCAGGAUGCGCUAAGCCAUUCGAUCUUCCUGCUGGUGGUCCACCAUAGAGCUCCUAUGUAGCCGUUUGUUUUCUCGCUUAACUAAUUUGUAUGAGGCGAUACAGCUGAGAUCAGCCAACGGUUCGAGCACUUAGCACAAUGUGCCACUUAACCGGACGAGCGCAAGACCGGGUCUACCUACCUUAUGACAUUUAUGAAAAACGAACGUUGUAUUAAGGGGUUUCUAUCAGUUAGUAACAAAGCCGGCAGUAUCCUUGAAUUCAGGGGUCAGCUACGGGAGGUAUGUCUCCAUGUGUGCCGAAGAAGCGUCUAUCAUUAUACGCUGUUUAUCCAAUCAAAAACUUCUUCGUUUAGUUGGUAGAACCCACGCCAAUAUCAUAUUGACUCUCUCUCGUCCAAUAAGAGUUUCCGAGAGUUACUUUAUUCAAAUUCUCUCCUUUCCAAAGCUCCACAAGGAAAAAAGAGUAAUAGGACAACAAUAUUGCUUUCAUUUAUUUUGAGUUCUUUCUUUGUUGAGAUGGAAAUCGACGUUCUUUUGAAAAGGGCUAGGUAGUUUGCACGCAGGCAAAACUUCUUCAUGAAAGGUAAAAAAUAGACUUGGAUUUCAUGGGUUUCUUAAUGACUAGUCGUUCGUUUGAAGCCUUAAGAAACCAGCAGAGAAAGCGGCAGUUUUUUUUUCCGAAUGACCUUAUUUCGAGAAUCAACUAACCGACAAAUCCGUAGCCCAGGUGAUUCGCUGCCUCCCUCUCGCCAAAAUGGGAUGAAUCUUCUCAUGCAGCUUUUUGAUUAUUCAGGGCGCAGCGAAGCCAAUUUCCAUCAAGGCAAGGGGGUAAAUAAGGGGGAAGAGGAGUUGUAACGAUAGAAAAGAGAAAUGACUAUAAGGAACCAACGAUUCUCUCUUCUUAAACAACCUAUAUACUCCACACUUAACCAGCAUUUGAUAGAUUAUCCAACCCCGAGCAAUCUUAGUUAUUGGUGGGGGUUCGGUUCGUUAGCAGGUAUUUGUUUAGUCAUUCAGAUAGUGACUGGCGUUUUUUUAGCUAUGCAUCACACACCUCAUGUGGAUCUAGCUUUCAACAGCGUAGAACACAUUAUGAGAGAUGUUGAAGGGGGCUGGUUGCUCCGUUAUAUGCAUGCUAAUGGGGCAAGUAUGUUUCUCAUUGUGGUUCACCUUCAUAUUUUUCGUGGUCUAUAUCAUGCGAGUUAUAGCAGUCCUAGGGAAUUUGUUCGGUGUCUCGGAGUUGUCAUAUUCCUAUUAAUGAUUGUGACAGCUUUUAUAGGAUACGUACCACCUUGGGGUCAGAUGAGCUUUUGGGGAGCAACAGUAAUUACAAGCUUAGCUAGCGCCAUACCAGUAGUAGGAGAUACCAUAGUGACUUGGCUUUGGGGUGGUUUCUCCGUGGACAAUGCCACCUUAAAUCGUUUUUUUAGUCUCCAUCAUUUACUCCCCCUUAUUUUAGUAGGCGCCAGUCUUCUUCAUCUGGCCGCAUUGCAUCAAUAUGGAUCAAAUAAUCCAUUGGGUGUACAUUCCGAGAUGGAUAAAAUUGCUUCUUACCCUUAUUUUUAUGUAAAGGAUCUUGUAGGUCGGGUAGCUUCUGCUAUCUUUUUUUCCAUUUGGAUUUUUUUUGCUCCUAAUGUUUUGGGGCAUCCCGACUUGCUUCAUUCAAUAGAGAAGAGACGGACUUCCAUAGAGCAUAGAUACCCGCUUUUGAUUCGGAAUACAUGAGACCCGGGCUUAGAAGUUAUGAGAUGACAGUACCUGAUAGUCAUAUCGACUUAAGGACAUGGUUUGGGUCCCACGAGAGGAAGAAACGAAGAUGUCUGGUCGUGGGACUGGUAACCUUGUCUGCUCUAGUACGAGUGAUCCGGUAUUCAUUACAUCAAUUCUAUCGUGUCAAAUCGGGUCAAAUAGCUCAGUCUUUCACUCGAAAGCCUGGCAUCCGCUACCGGUCAACUACUCUUAACUCCUGGGGUCGGAAUAAGCUUCCGCUUCUCAGCCAUAUCCAUCUUCAGCUUCUCCGCCUUUCGCUGAUCCACUUUCAUCCGAAUCAGUAGACAUAGUAUCCGGGUGGAAUGCGGGUGCUGUUAACCGGGUUCUUCUUUGAAUUUAUUGCUUGAAUAGAGAAGCUGCCUGCAGACGCCGCAACGAACAUGUAUUCACUAUUGUACGACUAUUCUCGUGCCUACUAUCUAGUUCGAGUCAAAGCAUAAAGCUUGUGCCUCAAUUUAGUGCUUGCUUGCAAAAAGACAUAUUGAAGAAAAGAGUAGAUUCUAAUCAAUAUGGCGCCCCUGGACCCUUUUAUUAAAUAAAAGUGCAGUAUCAAGUAGAAGUUGAUUCCGGUUGAGGAAAAGAAAGCGACUUCUCCAGCACUAGCACUUGCUUGAAUAAGUGCUUGCUAAGGAACCGGCAUAAUCAAAUUGCACGUCUGCUUCCCUUGUUGGGUCCAAUUGAACCCUUAGACAACACCCAAGCUUCCAUAAGAGUGCGAAGUGGAAGUACCUAACAGGGCCCUAUCUUAUUCAAGUCUCAUUUGGAGGGGAUUGCAGGAUUUGAUCCAUCGCCCCCGGUCCAAAGGACAAUAAAAAUAAUGGUACUUCACCUUCGAUUGGAUCUAGCUAUAAUCUACGUUUGGAAGAGUCUAAAGAUAUGGAGCUCAAAGGCAACAGCACGAAGGAACCUUUUGAUUGAGCAAGCAUGCGAAGCAAGCGACAGAGACCAAAUAGGCGAGAUUAGUUAAGGAAACGGGGUACUUCUGUGGCUAGAAGGCUUUUUUAUGAUUUUAAGGAAACCUUGAGGAGAUAUGCUUCAGGCUUAUCGAUUGUCACCCAUAGCCAUUGCUAUAUCUAUUAUAGCUUGAUUUUACUGUGGUAGAUGAACACAAUACUGCGGGGAAAGCUAAAAGACAAUACAGCCGUCCCAUGGGGUAUAGGCGAACGAUACAUUCACCUUAUUUAUCUUCAUUUUCUUCCGCAGCGAGCUAGUAUGCCCAAAGCCAGCAGUGCGUAGGAAGUCACUGAUCGAGCACUCUUGCGCCGACGAAUCCGGUCUUAGAUAGAAUGAAUAGGCGAAGAAAGGACAACCUGCUAGUAAGAAGGUUUCUUUCUGACUUAUGGAAAGCCUUACCUCUUUCUUGGACACGUUUUCGCUGCGCGCCUCUAUGAUAAACGAAAUGGCAGACAUGAACAAAGCAUAUAGUUGGUAUGACGAGAUAUUCUUCUUUCCCGACGGAACUACCUUUCGGCUUCGCUAAAAACACCUGGGCUAUGCCUCAAAGUCUCAACACUGGCCCGGAGGAGAACACUAAUCUACGCAUAAAUAAAAUCUCUGUUCAUUUUUGAUUCAACUGACCGAGACUAGCAAAUCAAUCCUUUUGAAGCACUCAGCUUUCAGACAAGUCUUCAGACUGCCAUGUUUUAGCUUACUUACCUUUGCCUGCCAACGCUAGAAAAGCUAGCUUCCUUGUUUGUGGUACCAGGAAUGUGUCAUCUUGAUCAAGGAGUCUGGAACUCCAUGCUGGGGAUGUAGGAAAUGCUAUUCGUGCCGGUGAAUCGACGAAACUAUGUCCUUUUGCAGCUUUUUGUGCAAUGUCAUAUGUCGUAAAAGAAAAUGUUGGUGCAGGCUGUCUUCGUAUGCUUUUGAAAAAGCAAGAAUUACUACUAUUUAUUGACUUUAUGAAAAGAAAGUAAAUUGACACUUUAUGUCUCUCUUUCGAAAUUGAAACUUGAAAAUAGUAGGAAACGGAAAGCAAGAACGAAGUAGGCGAGGAAAGGCAUACAUAGGUCAGAAAAGUAUGCAUGGUCGUCACGGGUAAGGAUUCUCCUUCCAGCAUUCUUGGGUCUAGUUUUGUUUGGACUUGGGCUUAGAUGUAGUGGGUUCUUGGGCCACUGCUUUACCUUUAUCAACCUUAGAAGGAGCAUUAGUCUUUGACACAUCAAUCAACCCGGCGUAGGAGCAUGGGAUUUGGACACAUCAGCACCAAACCUGUUGUUGAAGUCGAGUAUGAGCUUCUAUUCUAUCCAAUCGAAAGAAGAAGCAAAGGCUUUUCUCCUUAUCUUUGCAUUUAAGUUCUCGAAAGGAGAAUCGGAGGCUUUACACCUAUCUUUUCUACUUGCUUUUCGUUUUCUAAAAACAAGAGAUCUAGGAAAUGAAAGGAAUUCAUUAUCGAUAAGCUGUGGGUAGAACAGCACAACGAUAGAAACAUGAGGAAAAUCGUCUUCAUCAAGAAGAUAUUUAGCAAUUUUUUCUAUUUUCUAGGCGGAAGAGAUAAAAUAAAUAUUGUUACUGGGCUAGGAUGUUCAUUUGGGAAGGAUCUCGGAUGAAGCUCCAGAGUUCUUGACCAGUGGAGUCAAGUGGAGAAGGCGUUACUUGAUAGGAAAGCAAAUUUUUUUUGCAGGAAUUGUUGUUGUUUCAGCGCGGUAACGAAGGAUGUCUUUCUACCUGCACUUGACCCCGGAAAGUUGUGGUGUUUUCUAUCUUAGAGGAUUAACCACGCCUUUAUGCAAAGGCGAUGCCGAAGAACAUAAGCGGUUGUUUAAAGCAGUGGCGGCGCAUCCGCCUCUAUCCAUCACCAGAGUCUUUCUAGGUUUGUUCAAUAUCAUUUAUAUGUCAUAUGUCAAGGGCUAAAUAUAUGGUAGCCGAUUAUAUACUCCGCGUAGGGCGAAGUUUGUCCCAGUUGGUAGUUAUAUAUAGGUAUAGCUGGAGCCCUAGACAGUCUAGCCAUAUACCAUAUCAUGGGUUGUGGGCUACUCUGGAAGGAGUGGUGACCCAGCGCGAUAGGUUGCUUUUACUAUUACAAGACUGGCUUCCUGGUCAAGUCAGCCUCCUUGAGUUUGUCUUACGGACGGAGUGGGCUUUUCCCCAGGGGGUCUAGUUUUAAGGCAAGUAGGCCUAUUGAGAUGCAUAUAACUUUUCAUCUUAUCACCCCGCCUAGCGACUUUGCAAGCAUUAAAGGCUAGGCACCUAACAGCGGUUAUUCCUCCAACAGGUUAUUCUGGGUUACGCUAAACCUUCAAGCCUUUUACCAGCAGAUGAAUACUUAAUCUAUCCCCUCUGCGCACGGAAAGGGAAAGCUACUCUUCAAGAGUAUAUGCCGAAAAUCCUAUGUUUGGAGUGACCAUGAACACACUGCUUGAGACCCUUCUUUCGUGAGACAGUUGUGAUUCCGCUUUCAUGUUUUGGAUUGAGCUUUGUCACUCUUUCUAUGCCUCUUUCUUUUUCUUGGAGGACAACACACACGCGGCGCUAAGGUUCCCGUGGCAACUGAACUAGGAUUCGAAGCCAGGAUGAGCGGAUCUACCGCUCCAGGUCCUUUCCUAUUCUUAUACUAAUAUGUGUAAGUUCCUUGCGUUUAGAACUAGAACGUGAGGCAUAGUAAUGGCGCAUGUGUGAUAUUCUAUUGAUCCUGUUUAGGCUGCUUUAGGAAAGCACUCAAGCAGGAAUGGAUAAAAUGUCUUCUGCUGCAAUCCUAACUGCAAUGGCCCUCGCAGCUUUAGUGCAACAAGCCGAUCGAAAGCACUCAUCUUUAUCGACUAAAUGCUUUUUUGUCUCUUCCUCACUAAACGCCCGCUUCCUGGCUCCUCCCUCUUUGCCUAGCGGUUAAGUAGAUAGUAGGUCCCCCCCUGGCCCCGCAACCAAGAGUCACUCGUCGAAAGCUGACCAGGAAGACAAUAACUGCUAUUUCAAGAAAGCAUGGUUGGAGUUCUUCUAUUGACGAAGGGAAGAGGACGGUCUUACUUUUCAGAGAUACCUGACUUAUUAAUGGACUGGUCAUGUCAUAGCGGAAGGUCAGAGGUGGGAAACAAGGAAACAGAGGAAAUGCUUACUGGGACAUAGCCUUUGGUACGAGUUGAAGGGAAGAGGUUUGAUUGCUAAUAAAAUGAGUGGAAGAGCUGCUCGGUCAAAGGCCUUCUCUCAAGUAGCAAAGGCAAGACGGAAAAGCAGGAAUGAAGGUUGCUAGGUACCGCUCCGUGGUAACAUCUAUCGAUUCCGCUAUCGGGAAAGUCUGGCAAGGGGAAUAUCUGGCUGAGGAAUUAGAGGAACUUUGGUAGCACUCGGGGACGGAAUCAAUCAAAGAACUUAAGAAAUUGCCCAUACCGACAGCAGCUCCCGCUUUAGAAAAAACCCUAUCUCAUCAGGCAGGUAUACCUGACCCUUUUUUAGCUAGUUUCGGGAAAGCGGUAAGUUAAGUAAGUCAAGCCCUUCUAAGCGAAGAAUAGCGGAGAGAAAUGGUAACGUAAUAAGGGAAAGGGAGCUAGCUGCUUCCAUAUCGCCCCCAAAAAAGAACCAAAAAGUUCCAGAGGCAUCUUCCAUUCAUUUCGAUUUAGGUCUUUCUGCACCAUAUUUAGAUCUUCCCUUUCUACGAUCCGGAAUUCCCAGCAAAUCCUUGACUCCUCGAAUACGAUGGGAUUUCACACCUGGCGAAUCUUUCACUCUACCUCCUCUGACUAAGACUAUAGAAUGUUCCUGCGAAUUAUGACCUUCGCCUGGAAUGUGAGCAAAUAUAUCAUGUCGAUUGCUCAACCGUACUUUUGCUAUCUUACGUAGAGCUGAAUUAGGUUUUUUCGGUGUUCUCGUCGAAACACGCAGGCAUACUCCUUGCUUCUGGGGACAUUGAUCCGAAGCUCGAGUACGGUCCGUGCGCCGUUUUUCUUCUCUACCAUGACGAAUCAAUUGAUUUUUUGUAGGCAUCCCUCUUUCCUAUGUCCUUCCCCCCUUUGCCCUUUCAAAAGUGGUUACUCCCGAUCCGAAGCACCCCUUUUCCAUUCAUAGAGAGAUCCAAUCGUCAAAAUCAAUAAAAAGGCCAUCAUGGACCAAGAUCCAAACAGAUCAAUCUUGUUAGGAGGUACUGCCCAAGGAAAAGAAAAGGUGACUUCCGGAUCAGGGAUAAUAAAUAAAAUAGGAACCGGAUAAAAUCGUAUAUCGAAACGACUUCUGGCAUCACCGGAGGGAUCGGAACCACAUUCGUAGGCCGACAAUUUUUCUGGAUAGGUCGAACUAUUGGAAGCAAAUGGAAAAGGAACACCGAGUGGAAUCAAAGAAACUAGCGGACUGAUCACUAAAUAGAUACAAAUAGGUGCAAAUUCCGACAUCACCAAAGCCCACUUCGUUCUCUCGCUCUCCUCGCGGCGCUCCUUGCUCGCGGAGCGGCAUACCGAAAAAAAGACGCUCAGAUGUGGAUUCGAACCACUGAAGGAUUUCAAGGGCAAUGCCCCUUGCUCUUCCCACUGAAACAAGAAAAAAAGGAUUUGCAGUCCAGCAAGAAAACGGAUGCGCUAACGCUCAACGGCUUUCGCGCUAGUUGCNNNNNNNNNNUGCUCUAACCAGCUGAGCUACCAGAACCACUUGCCUAAAGUCUCUUUUCUUCAUCUAUGAGCAUCCUACCUGCAGUGGAGGAGCUUGCUCAAGAACCGAGAGCCGGCCAGGGACUGGACGGCCCUCGUUCGGGAAGGUCUUCUUCGCUAUAGACGCCACCAAGAACAAGAAAGGGGAUACGAAAGAAACACAGCUGUUCAAAUCAUACCACCGCCUCCUCCUGCAAACGAGCAAGUUCUAAGCUUUAUCGAUCUUCUCCGGCUCACGAAACUCUGGUCUAAUGCCCGCCUUUAGAAAGGACCUGUUUCUUCCUAUUAUUCAUAUCCGCUAGGGGUACGAAGGAGAAGGAGACCGGAUGCGUUAAGCUAGUUGGUAAGAGUUCUUGUCAUUAUUGAUAGUGGCCCUAGAGAAAGAGCUUACGCUGAUUGUUCUAACUUCAUUCAUAUUUGAUUCCGCAACUGAGACCUUUUCCCACAUCUGUGCCAGGAGGGCAAGCGGUCAAAGCAGAAAGGGUUCUCGCUUCUCCGUCUGGAAGGACACCAAAUGGACCAAAUCCUAUCGAUCUUUCCUUACGACUCGACUUAAAAAAAAGGCCGCAGAGGGCUAAAGGCAGUAUCUUUAGUCUACCCAACUCCCUUGCUGCCUAUUUCCUUUUAUACGGUCAUUCCGUGGGGCCACAAGCACCAUCAAUUGCAUUAUCCCCGGUACCACACAUCACUCCAAUCAGAAUAAGCGGGAAUGCUGGUUGGAAAGACAGAAAUAGAAUAAUGAGAAUCAUAUGGUCUGCUUGGGAAGAUAAGCGAAGAAAGCUCUAAGGUUUCCCUUCCUGCAUUCAGAGCUUAUCAAUUCGUCCCACGCUAUAUAGUGAAGCAAAGCUAUCUAUAAAUCGAGCAUAUCUUUUAUCCGGAAGGUAGUGGGCUUUCACCCGUACUCGCCCUUCCACUUCACACUUACUAAAUUAGGCUGAGUGUAUGCGCACAUGAAAACAAACAGAAAACGAGUGAGCACUUUCUUUCUAUAGACAACGGUCAAGUCUGCGAUCCAAACAGUGAUGAAAAGAAUUAUCAAAUCAUUCGCGGAUGGACGUGAAAGAAGGAAGAACCAAAUGGCACUGCUUCCUCAAAGCGAGCUUCGGGUACCCGAUCAAGGGACUAAUGAAACACCAGUACAUGUCAUACAGAAGCUCCACUCAUCCCUCCGCCAGCCCAACCUAAGUUUCUAUCGGACUGAGCUAUUCUUCAAUCCAGUGCCCUAAUCCUUU
rnacentral:lncRNA from 1 species